GUGGGGAAUAUUGGGCAAUGGGGGAAACCCUGACCCAGCGACGCCGCGUGGGUGAAGAAAUCCUUCGGGAUGUAAAGCCCUGUUGUAUGGGAAGAGCGGAAGACGGUACCAUACGAGGAAGCCCCGGCAAACUACGUGCCAGCAGCCGCGGUAAUACGUAGGGGGCAAGCGUUGUCCGGAAUUACUGGGCGUAAAGCGCACGCAGGCUGACUUAUAAGUCGGUAGUCAAAGGCGGAGGCUCAACCUCUGUAUAUCUAGCGAUACGGUAAAUCUGGAGUAUGUGAGAGGGAAGCGGAAUUCCAGGUGUAGCGGUGAGAUGCGUAGAUAUCGGGGGGAACACCAGUGGCGAAGGCGGCUUCCUGGCACAAUACUGACGCUCAUGUGCGAAAGCUAGGGCAGCGAACGGGAUUAGAUACCCUUGUAGUCC
rnacentral:rRNA from 1 species